ACGGGGGGGGCAAGCGUUGUUCGGAAUUACUGGGCGUAAAGGGCUCGUAGGCGGCCCACUAAGUCGGACGUGAAAUCCCUCGGCUUAACCGGGGAACUGCGUCCGAUACUGGCGGGCUUGAAUCCGGGAGAGGGAUGUGGAAUUCCAGGUGUAGCGGUGAAAUGCGUAGAUAUCUGGAGGAACACCGGUGGCGAAGGCGGCAUCCUGGACCGGUAUUGACGCUGAGGCGCGAAAGCCAGGGGAGCGAACGGGA
rnacentral:rRNA from 1 species